GACGAACGCUGGCGGCGUGCUUAACACAUGCAAGUCGAACGGAAAGGCCCUGCUUUUGUGGGGUGCUCGAGUGGCGAACGGGUGAGUAACACGUGAGUAACCUACCCUUGACUUUGGGAUAACUUCAGGAAACUGGGGCUAAUACCGGAUAGGAGCUCCUGCUGCAUGGUGGGGGUUGGAAAGUUUCGGCGGUUGGGGAUGGACUCGCGGCUUAUCAGCUUGUUGGUGGGGUAGUGGCUUACCAAGGCUUUGACGGGUAGCCGGCCUGAGAGGGUGACCGGCCACAUUGGGACUGAGAUACGGCCCAGACUCCUACGGGAGGCAGCAGGGGGGAAUAUGGCACAAUGGGCGGAAGCCUGAUGCAGCAACGCCGCGUGCGGGAUGACGGCCUUCGGGUUGUAAACCGCUUUCGCCUGUGACGAAGCGUGAGUGACGGUAAUGGGUAAAGAAGCACCGGCUAACUACGUG
rnacentral:rRNA from 1 species